GUUUAAAAAGGCAAAGAUUUUCUAAAAUGUGAACACUGCAUCGUGGCUUUUCUUUGUUCCGUGUUUCCUGUAAACUCCUGCUGGUCUAGAGGUUUGACAGGUUGGGGUGUAAUAUUCCGUGCAGGGCUGCUUCCUCGGCAGGGCGUUGUGCCCCCCGGGGCAUCCUGUCAGGAGCUUCCCGAUCCUGGUGGUCCCGUUCUUCAAAUACUGACCACUAAGCCCAGGUGGGGCAGCCUGACCCAGUGAAGGCCCACCUAAGGGCUUUAGCAUCCCUUGAUGAGCAGCGACUAGAUUCUUAUUUCAUGCGAUGUACGGAUUUAAAAGUAUUAAAUUAUGUAUUUCAUCCCUGAGACCUCCUUUAAUUCUUAGGAUUCUCACAUUUAAUUCUUGGAAGAUGAGAUUAUUGUUAUCCUGUUUUUGCAGAAGAAGAGACUGGUGCCCAGCGAGGGUCUGUUGUGGCUGCCCGUGGCCACAUGGAACCACAAGGGACCACACAGACCACAGGGGCCACAAAGGGCCACAGAACCAGGAUCUGUCCGAGGACGCGGUGCCGUUUAAUGCUGCCACUUCCCAGCCUAUGUCUCAGCUUCCCUCUUUCUGUGGGUUCUGUGGAACCCUGCCUGAUGCUCUCGGAUGGUUCCGUGAGAGAGAAGCCGAUUACGACCCGGUCCAGCACACAUGGCCCCUGUUCCUGCAAGCCCAAAUUCUUCCUUCUUAA
rnacentral:lncRNA from 1 species